rnacentral:rRNA from 1 species
CCUACGGGAGGCAGCAGUGAGGAAUAUUGGUCAAUGGACGAGAGUCUGAACCAGCCAAGUAGCGUGAAGGAUGACUGCCCUAUGGGUUGUAAACUUCUUUUAUAUGGGAAUAAAACGUUCCACGUGUGGGAUUUUGUAUGUACCAUAUGAAUAAGGAUCGGCUAACUCCGUGCCAGCAGCCGCGGUAAUACGGAGGAUCCGAGCGUUAUCCGGAUUUAUUGGGUUUAAAGGGAGCGUAGGUGGAUUGUUAAGUCAGUUGUGAAAGUUUGCGGCUCAACCGUAAAAUUGCAGUUGAAACUGGCAGUCUUGAGUACAGUAGAGGUGGGCGGAAUUCGUGGUGUAGCGGUGAAAUGCUUAGAUAUCACGAAGAACUCCGAUUGCGAAGGCAGUUCACUAGACUGCAACUGACACUGAGGCUCGAAAGUGUGGGUAUCAAACAGGAUUAGAUACCCGAGUAGUC